AUUGAACGCUGGCGGCAGGCCUAACACAUGCAAGUCGAGCGAGCGGCGGACGGGUGAGUAAUGUCUGGGAAACUUCCUGAUGGAGGGGGAUAACUACUGGAAACGGUAGCUAAUACCGCAUACCAUCAGAUGUGCCCAGAUGGGAUUAGCUAGUAGGUGGGGUAAUGGCUCACCUAGGCGACGAUCCCAAGCUGGUCUGAGAGGAUGACCAGCAACACUGGAACUGGGACACGGGCCAGACUCCUACGGGAGGAAGAAGUGGGGAAUAUUGCAAAAAGGGCGCAAGCCUGAUGCAGCCAUGCCGCGGUGGUGAAGAGGGCCUUCGGGUUGUAAAGCCCUUUCAGCGGGGAGGCGUUACCCGCAGAAGAAGCACCGGCUAACUCCGUGCCAGCAGCCGCGGUAAUUC
rnacentral:rRNA from 1 species